CCUACGGGAGGCAGCAGUGGGGAAUUUUGGACAAUGGGCGCAAGCCUGAUCCAGCCAUUCCGCGUGAGUGAAGAAGGCCUUCGGGUUGUAAAGCUCUUUCGCAAGGGAAGAAAACUUAGUCUCUAACAUAGACUGAGGUUGACGGUACCUUGAUAAGAAGCACCGGCUAACUACGUGCCAGCAGCCGCGGUAAUACGUAGGGUGCGGGCGUUAAUCGGAAUUACUGGGCGUAAAGCGUGCGCAGGCUGUUUUGUAAGUCAGAUGUGAAAUCCCUGAGCUCAACUUAGGAACUGCGUUUGAAACUACAAGACUAGAAUAUGUCAGAGGGGGGUAGAAUUCCACGUGUAGCAGUGAAAUGCGUAGAGAUGUGGAGGAAUACCAAUGGCGAAGGCAGCCCCCUGGGAUAAUAUUGACGCUCAUGCACGAAAGCGUGGGGAGCAAACAGGAUUAGAUACCCUGGUAGUCCACGCCCUAAACGAUGUCUACUAGUUGUUGGUGGAGUAAAAUCCAUGAGUAACGCAGCUAACGCGUGAAGUAGACCGCCUGGGGGAGGUACGGUCGCGAGAGUAAACGUAACGAAAGAAGUAGACGCGUGAGACGUAGACGACGGACGACGACGAGGGGAGGAGG
rnacentral:rRNA from 1 species